UCCCCGGUAGCUCAGUCGGUAGAGCGUCGGACUGUUAAUCCGCAGGUCCCUGGUUCGAGUCCAGGCCGGGGAGCCA
rnacentral:tRNA from 1 species